UUAAGCAUAUAAGUAAGUGGAGGAUUUGAAACCAAAUGGGAAUUCUUAAGUAAUGGCGAAUGAACAGGGAUAUGCCUAGUGUGGAAAUUGAGGUUGAUGACCUUGAAUUGUUUUCUUCAGACACUCUUCCAGCAAAGGUGCACAUGUAGAUGUUGUGGAAAAAGAUUUCGAGGAAGGUGACAUGCCUGUCUGAGUUGUGUGACCCUUUGUAUACGGGAUGUGUUUUACAAGUCACGUUCCUUGGAAUUGGAAUGCAAAGUUGGUGGUAAUUUUCACCCAAGGCUAAUUAUGAUUGUGAAACCGAUAGCAAACAAGUACCAUGAGGGAAACAUGAAAAGGACUUUGAAAAGAGGGUUAAAAGUGCUUGAAAUUGCUGAACUGGAAGCGAAGGAUGUCUGAGUGCCGAUGAUAGAUUGCUGCCGUUGCAUGCUGCUUGAUUGGUUUGCGACAUGCAAGCUUGUGCAUGGAGUUAUGCAAGGGUUGUGUUGCUGUCGUGGCGUGCUAGUGCCUUUGUGUGUUGGAGCAUGUGUGUCGAAGCAUGGAAGCUCGCUGGUUGAGUGUGUGAAUGCUCGGUUGUUGCUCAGACACAUUGAGUGUAAUGGUUUCUUUUGGAAUGUAUCAGCUUCCACCUGUGGUUGUGGAUCCUAUUCUUGUGUGCAAGCCAUUGAAACUAGUGAAUGGACAUCUUUCGACCCGUCUUGAAAC
rnacentral:rRNA from 1 species